rnacentral:lncRNA from 1 species
CCGUGUGAUACUGUGAUGGUAAGAGAGAACUGCAUUAGAGCUCCAAAGUUAAUACAACUAGCUUAUAACUCUAUGCGGCACAUGGAUUAUAAUUUUUUUAAAAUAUAAAAUAUUUUAUAUUAUUUAUUUAUUUUAUAUAUAUUUUAAAAAUAAAUAUUAUAAUAAAAAUUAUAUUUAUGUAUAAUAUAGAUUAUAAGUUAUCUUGUGAAGACCGACGGCUCUGAUUUC